rnacentral:rRNA from 1 species
CCGGGGAAUUCCCGGGGUAGGGGUGAAAUCCUGUAAUUCCCGGGAGGACCACCUGUGGCGAAGGCGCCCGGCUGGAACGGGUCCGACGGUGAGGGACGAAGGCCAGGGGAGCGAACCGGAUUAGAUACCCGGGUAGUCCUGGCUGUAAACGAUGCGGGCUAGGUGUCACCAGAGCCACGAGCUCCGGUGGUGCCGGAGGGAAGCCGUUAAGCCCGCCGCCUGGGAAGUACGGCCGCAAGGCUGAAACUUAAAGGAAUUGGCGGGGGAGCACUACAACGGGUGGAGCCUGCGGUUCAAUUGGAUUCAACGCCGGGAAGCUUACCGGGGGAGACAGCUGGAUGAAGGUCGGGCUGAAGACCCUACCAGACUAGCUGAGAGGUGGUGCAUGGCCGCCGUCAGUUCGUACUGUGAAGCGUCCUGUUAAGUCAGGCAACGAGCGAGACCCGCGCCCUCAGUUGCCAGCGGAUCCCUUCGGGGAUGCCGGGCACACUGAGGGGACUGCCGGCGCUAAGCCGGAGGAAGGUGCGGGCAACGGCAGGUCCGUAUGCCCCGAAUCCCCCGGGCUACACGCGGGCUACAAUGGCCGGGACAAUGGGUACCGACCCCGAAAGGGGUAGGUAAUCCCCUAAACCCGGUCUAACCUGGGAUCGAGGGCUGCAACUCGCCCUCGUGAACCUGGAAUCCGUAGUAANNNCGCCUCAAAAUGGCGCGGUGAAUAC